GAUGAACGCUGGCGGCGUGCCUAAUACAUGCAAGUCGAACGCUGAAGGAGGAGCUUGCUCUUCUGGAUGAGUUGCGAACGGGUGAGUAACGCGUAGGUAACCUGCCUGGUAGCGGGGGAUAACUAUUGGAAACGAUAGCUAAUACCGCAUGACAACAGUUAUUGCAUGAUAACUGUUUAAAAGGGGCAACUGCUCCACUACCAGAUGGACAUGCGUUGUAUUAGCUAGUUGGUGAGGUAACGGCUCACCAAGGCGACGAUACAUAGCCGACCUGAGAGGGUGAUCGGCCACGCUGGGACUGGGACACGGCCCAGACUCCUACGGGAGGCAGAAGUAGGGAAUCUUCGGCAAUAGACGGAAGUCUGACCGAGCAACGCCGCGUGAGUGAAGAAGGUUUUCGGAUCGUAAAGCUCUGUUGUAAGAGAAGAACGAGUGUGAGAGUGGAAAGUUCACACUGUGACGGUAUCUUACCAGAAAGGGACGGCUAACUACGUG
rnacentral:rRNA from 1 species